rnacentral:snoRNA from 1 species
UCUUGUCACCUCUGACGAAGCCCAUGUUGGUAGGGACAUCUGAGAGUCCAACUCUCAGA